UUUUUCUUGUCGGAGUGCUAGUGUUUUUUACUGAGGUGAAAAACAUAAGCUGAGACCGUUAAUUCGGGAUCCGUUGAACCUGAUCGGGCUAGUACCCGCGAAGGAAACAAGCGUAAUGUUAUU
rnacentral:ncRNA from 2 species